CUUUCGGUUCGGAAUAAUUCAGGGAAACUUGGACUAAUACCGGAUACGCCCUUCGGGGGAAAGAUUUAUCGCCGAUAGAUCGGCCCGCGUCUGAUUAGCUAGUUGGUGAGGUAAUGGCUCACCAAGGCGACGAUCAGUAGCUGGUCUGAGAGGAUGAUCAGCCACAUUGGGACUGAGACACGGCCCAAACUCCUACGGGAGGCAGCAGUGGGGAAUAUUGGACAAUGGGCGCAAGCCUGAUCCAGCCAUGCCGCGUGAGUGAUGAAGGCCUUAGGGUUGUAAAGCUCUUUUGUCCGGGAAGAUAAUGACUGUACCGGAAGAAUAAGCCCCGGCUAACUUCGUGCCAGCAGCCGCGGUAAUACGAAGGGGGCUAGCGUUGCUCGGAAUCACUGGGCGUAAAGGGCGCGUAGGCGGACUCUUAAGUCGGGGGUGAAAGCCCAGGGCUCAACCCUGGAAUUGCCUUCGAUACUGAGAGUCUUGAGUUCGGAAGAGGUUGGUGGAACUGCGAGUGUAGAGGUGAAAUUCGUAGAUAUUCGCAAGAACACCAGUGGCGAAGGCGGCCAACUGGUCCGAUACUGACGCUGAGGCGCGAAAGCGUGGGGAGCAAACAGGAUUAGAUACCCUGGUAGUCCACGCCGUAAACG
rnacentral:rRNA from 1 species